UUUUUUUCUACUUUUUUUUUCUUUUUCAGAAAUAAAGGACAAUAAAUAGAUAUUCCCUCUUAGAAAAUAUAUAAGAAUAAUCAAAGGAGGAGUAUAACCUUUUAUCAACUAUAUCAAUCACUUACUUAUAAAAUUAAGUAAAGAGAAGAAAUCUCAUUAAACAUGUAAAAUUAUAGGCGUAAUUUUCCUCACUUUACCGAAUAUACUUUCUAAAAUGCAAAAGUCCUAAUUGCAUAAUAACCAUUUUCAAGUUAAAUGAGGACUAAACCUUCCAAAAUACAUAUAACAUUUCAACAAUUGGAAGAAUAAGGUUGGAACAAUUAGCCCUUUUUGAAUGAAAAUGCAAGAAUUUGAAGAACUUUUGGGCCAUAGUGAAAUAUUGGAAAAGAGUUUAGAAAAAUUUUUAUAGAGUUUCUCCUUAUAAAUGGAUGAAAACUCCCUGCCAACAAACCUAUUUUCUAGCAAAUUAUCCACAUGGCAAGCAUUUCAAACACAAUUCCAACAUUUCUAAGCAUUUAAAUCCACAAAAUAUCAUCACCUAGCAAGUAAAUGCAAGUUCAAUACUUUCCUCCCCC
rnacentral:lncRNA from 1 species